rnacentral:lncRNA from 1 species
AGCCGACUUGUGCCCCAGUCAGAGCUAGAGCUGCAAAGUCAGCUUAUUCAGUGGUCAUCAUAGUGUCUUUGGUUUUUGGUCCAGUUUCUGGAGGCUACACCCUAACCAUCAGGAUAUGUUAGCACCAUUAGCCAGGUCUGACAAACCUCUCUACUGUGCCCAGUACUGUUCCCGACAGAGAACAGUAAGAGGCUGAGAACCUCUUACUUAUUUAGCCUCUGGUUAUGGAAGUGUAGGAACAGAGUGGGGCUAACAGCUGAUUUAAGUAAGGUCUCUCCUGUUGAAGCCACCCAUCUUCACAAGCCUCUGAGUUAAGUCCUGACUUACCAGAACUACAUAGAAAAAAAGUGAUUUGCUGGAAAGUUAGGUUAGUGCGCUCACACUCUCUCUUUCAUCCCAUCUGUCUUUCUUUUUUUUUUUUUUUUGGUAGAUGACUUUUGCUUUUUUUUUUUUCUUUUAAAGAUUUAUUUACUUAUGUGAGUACAUUGUAGCUGUCUUCAGACAUAGCAGAGGAGUGCAGAAGAUCUUAUUACAGAUGGUUGUGAGCCACCAUGUGGUUGCUGGGAAUUGAACUCAGGACCUCUGGAAGAGCAGUCAGUGCUCUUAACCACUGAGCCAUCUCUCCAGCCCCAGCCCCAGCUUUUGCUUUUUUUUUUUUUUAAUGUUCUUUUAAAAGUAUUUUUGUGAGCAUCUUUGUGUGCAUAUAAUGUAUUGUAAAGUGUCAUUAUGUGUCAGUGUGCAUGUGUGUGUAUAUGGAGGUUAAAGAGCAGAAGUAUUCAUUGGCUAGACUGAACUGGCUGGUGGAUAGAGAACUCUGGGGAGGGAGUGUCUUCCUGUUGUAUGGUGUCUUGUCUGCCUCUCUCCAACUCUCUGCAACUCCACAGUUAAAGAUGUGCCAGCAAACCAGGUCCUUAUGCUUUGAGGCAGGCACUUUACCAACUGAAACACCUCUCCAGCUCCUAAGUCCUGUUUUUGUGCCUGUUGAGGCUGAAAUGAUCAGGUUUCAGUGGGAGGUAUAUAUAUGGCUUGUUAUUGACUAGACUGCUUAGCAAAGGAACACUGUUAGUAGUGAGGUCAUUAUUAGGAGUGAGGGCAUUAUUAGUGAGGACAUUAUUAGUGAGGACAUUAUUAGGACAUUAUUAGUACUGAAGUCAUUAUUAGUAGUAAGAUUGGUGUUAGUAGUGAUAUUUACAAAUCUUUUAGGUAACAGGGAAUAGGGUGAGAGAAAUAAAAUUGGGUUUAAGGAAAAGAAAAAGUUUCUGAUAAUUCAUUGUUGCUGAAGAAAGUUAUCAUUUGCAUUCUCUUCCCUUCAGUGAACUCAGGGUAUUUUGUCACUGAGCUAAAUUCUCAGAUCCAUUCAUCAUCCACCCACCUAUCCAUCCUUUCUUUUUUUUUUUUUUUUUUCCUUUUAAUUUCUUUUUUUUUUUUUUUUGAGACAGGGUUUUAAUGUGUAUCCCUGCCUUGCUGGAACUGUAGAUUGGGUUGACCUUGAACACAGAGAUCAGUGUACCUCCAUGUUCUGAGUGCUGGGAUUAAAGGCGUGCGCCACCACUGCCUGGCACCAUAGGUGAAUUUAAGUUCUGUAUCCUGUCCAGUUGGUUCAAAAUACCAAAUCCACUUGCUGACGUAUUUCUCUUUGAUGUCUCUUCAAUCGCUCAUGUUUACAUAUCCCAAAUGGACAUUCCCCUUACCCUCCUUCCCAGCCAUCUGCUUUUUUACCAGCCAGUGUACAGUGUCAGCCCUGGGUAGGUUGUUCAGCCAGAUAUAUAGGAGGUCUUUUUGAUCUCAUAAUUUCUCUCAACUCCCACAUCCAUUUCACCAGCAAGCUUUGUCUUCUCUGGAAUAUAGGCUGUCUCUGUCUCUGUUUCUGCCUACUUUUACCACCUUAACCCUGAGCUCUUCAUUUCCUAAGUCAUUCAUCUUUAGUCCUGCAAACCAUUCUUAUGUUGCAGUCUGGCCUUUUAAAGAAUGUGAGUCGUUGUUGCUUGGCUAGUCGAACCCUUGACUGUUGCUUCAUUGCCCUUUGGCUAAGUCUAGACUCUGUCCUGAGUCCUCAAUAUCAGUGACCAGAUAGCUUGGAAGUGGCAAGACUGUUUUUACUAUCUGUAUUGCUCUGCCCCAGAUCUUUAUGUGCCUGGCUCUUUAGCCUUUAAAUGGUCUUUAGUAGCAUUUUUAAAGACACGACUACUGGAUACAACAGCCUUCUAGUCUCCUUAUCUUGCUACAUUUUCUCCACAGUGUGUACCCCACACAGAAUUUCCUUGCUGGUUUGCAGACUUGUGACUGGAGACACUUGUUUGUCUCCACGGACUAUAGGUCCCUCGGGAGCCAGAGUCCUGUAUCUGGUCCUGCCAUCUUCCCAGCGUCUAGAGUGAUGCUUGACUCAUAGCAGGCGCUUGUUACAGCUUUUGCUAAACACAUGAGCCUUUAAGGAGAUGAUGAGCAGAGGUGCUGGAUGGGCAGUCAGGAGGCUGUCGGUUUCCGUCUCUGGAAGUCCUCAGGGAGACGCUGAACCCUCAUUUCUGGAGCACUUUCUUUAUCUGUCUGUGUCCAAGCCAGCUGAGGGAUAUGGCAUACUUACGAGUGACACAGGAUUUGGAGGGUUGGUGGUUCUCAUGCUCAUCAAAUCCAGGACCUGGUAAGUGUCCUUCAGACAAUUUCCCAGGCUCUUCUUUGGAGGCUGCUUCCAGCUCACCUGUCUCCCACCACUUCCUGGACAUUGCUCUAGUUUGCUUUCUAUGGCUGUGAUAAACUACGACCAGUAGCAACCUGGGGAGGAAAGGGCUUAUUUGACUUACAUGGCAUAGCCCUUUAUCAAGGGAAGUAAAAGCAGGAACUGAAGUCAAGACCAUGGAGGACUGCUGCUUACUGCUUGCUCAACUCGUUCCUUACACAACCAGGACCACCUGUCUAGGGGGGAUAGUUGCACUGCCUACAGUGAGCUGGGUCCUUCCAUAUUAGUCAUUAAUUAGGAAAAUGCAGGAGGGAUGACUCAGCAGUUAUGAAUACUUUUAUAGUUGCUUUUCUAGAGGACCCAGGUUCGAAUUGAACCUGGCACCUUGAGGGGGUUUGACAUGCUCUUCUGGCCUCCUAUGACACCAGGUACACAAGUGAUACACAGACUUACAUGAAGACAAAAUACCCAAUAAAUAAAAUAAAUUUU